ACAGGUGAGCAGCUUUCCUCUCCGAUGAGUUCCGACUGAACCGCUGCCGACGGAGCUUCCCUUCAGGAUCGGUGAGGCCCAAACGUCCAUGUGGCAGCCCUGUGCCACAGCCCAGCAGCAUCAAGCAGGGUCACGUUAUAUUUAAAGCUACAACGUGUGACACUGCUCGGAUCCAGAAAGAAAAGAAAGGCAGACAUCUUGCAUUCCUGAGCUAAAUUCCAAAGUACAAUAACUUCCUAGAAUUCUUCGGUCCUCGACGGCGGAGCCAGAGCACAUCCUGUUGUCCUCGCAGCACUUCCUGCACAUGCAGCUCACUCAGGCUCCCUCGUUGCCAUGGCUACAGGAAAACACUGAAGUCACGCUCGGCAGCAACACCAGCAGGUUUCGUGGGGACAGAUUUAUCUUCAGAACUUCUGGUCUAAUCCUGAAGGGAAACAGGACGUCGGCUUCCUGAAGGCUGCUCUCCCAGCAGGGCAGCAUGUCAGGAAUGCUGCUUCGUGUCCCCAGCUGUCAGGCCGACUUAGCACGAGCCGCCGUGUCGCGCCAACACCUUAAACCUGUGAUGUCAUGGUCAGAGAGCUGGGAACAGGACUGCAUCAGGCGCCAGCACGCGAUGUUAUUACCGAGCGACGCUGUACAGUCCAGAUCUGUCCAGACACGGAUCCCAAAGAUCCAAAGCUUCUGAGUGCAGAUGUGGAGCUGAGAAAAGUCAGACCAGAGGUUCAGUUUAUCCUGGUGAUGCCUCCACA